rnacentral:rRNA from 1 species
AGUGAACGCUGGCGGUAGGCCUAACACAUGCAAGUCGAACGGCAGCACAGUAAGAGCUUGCUCUUACGGGUGGCGAGUGGCGGACGGGUGAGGAAUACAUCGGAAUCUACUUUUUCGUGGGGGAUAACGUAGGGAAACUUACGCUAAUACCGCAUACGACCUACGGGUGAAAGCAGGGGAUCUUCGGACCUUGCGCGAUUGAAUGAGCCGAUGUCGGAUUAGCUAGUUGGCGGGGUAAAGGCCCACCAAGGCGACGAUCCGUAGCUGGUCUGAGAGGAUGAUCAGCCACACUGGAACUGAGACACGGUCCAGACUCCUACGGGAGGCAGCAGUGGGGAAUACUGGACAAUGGGCGCAAGCCUGAUCCAGCCAUACCGCGUGGGUGAAGAAGGCCUUCGGGUUGUAAAGCCCUUUUGUUGGGAAAGAAAAGCAGCAGGUUAAUACCCCGCUGUUCUGACGGUACCCAAAGAAUAAGCACCGGCUAACUUCGCG